UUUAACCUUGUCCGAGGCUCCGUGCCUCCCGUGUGACUCUCUGCCCGAGACCCUGGGGCGGCCAGUUCUGCUGCCGCCGCCGAAGCGCUGCGGGAAUGCGCAGCUCCCUGUUGAAAAUCUCUGCUCUAAAUCUCAGCCUAGAGCUCGCCUCGCAGUCGUUUUUGGAAGUUUCAGGCUCAAGAGGUCGAGGUGAUGUGGGGUCCCGGCGAGCGUCUCUGCAGCAGCAGCCUCGGGCUGCAGGAGCUCGAGUGUUUGUGGCUGGCACUUGAAUCCAUGCUGGCCCCUUUUCCUCGGGCCGAGCUGCAAGGAGCUCAGCAGCUGCGGCAUUUAGUUAAAUUACUUCAGAUCUGUAAAUUUUCAAUAAUGGCAAUACAUUCAUUCUGCCAUUUGGAGGAGCCUGUGCCACAGAAUAAUGAUCUGAAGAAAGCUCACUCAUUUGCAAGGAAGAGUCUUCAUUUGGGAAUUAGCACUGAUGCAGCUCAAGGGUGCUUUUUCAAGUCCAGGGAUUCUCUAACUGGCAAUGGGUUUGGUGUUCCAACCAGCAGCCAAACAAAUGAUAAUUUAUUGAAAAAAAAAAACCAACAUCCAAAUGCUUCUUAUCAGACGCUUUCAGCAGAACUGUUGUUUUCCUAACACAACCUCUGGUACAAGGAUAAAAUUGGGUUUUUGUCAAAGAACAGAGUCCUGUAUCUGAAGAGCAAGAAGGUCCUUGACCUUCAGUGGGAUGAGAACUCAGAACUGACUACUGGGGACUCCCAAGCUACAGAUCAGCUGGAAUUGGCAGAUGCUGUUUCAAACAACCUAGUGAAGUGCAGGUACAUGUGGAAGUACUAUUGUGCAGCUGAACUAAAGGAAUUUUUCUGGAUAACUGCUUGCCUGUUAUUGUCGUUGGCAAGUUACAGCUAUAUAGCGUGCUUUCUAGAAACCAUUUUGGUAGGUGUGGGUUGCUUGUCAGAAAUCCAUUCUGAAGCUUGAGUGCAAAGGAAGCAGGGUACUAAUGAUGAAUAAGAAUGGAUAUCUUGAGGAUAACAAUGGAUUUUCAAAAGCAGUGGCAUUCUGGUCCUAGUCCUGCAACUGGAUUUAUUCAAAUGGACCUCGAUAGCCUGGGGGCCUGAUGAAGUUCAUGGGACUCAGGUUGCCUCAGUUUCUUCUCCUGAGUCUCAGAAAUCUUGGAAUAGAACCACUAAAUAGAAGGAGAUGACAUCACUGGGAAAGAAGAUGGUAGAAGAAACAUGAUAGAAGCUGGAGACCGUCUCUGUGAGAAUACUAGCAUGACUUCUUUUCUCUGAACAGCCAGUUAACAGGUAGCAGAAUCACUGUCUUCAUACGUUCACCAGCACUUCACAAAUGAGGCAAUUCUAGAAUUAAGGUCGUUGUUCAGAAGGAUCUUUGCCUUCCAUGAAGCACCGCGCCUUCCCAAACAAUUGCUAUCCUGUGUGUGUCAGACCACAGACCCUUCCAAAACUCCAUGGACAGAUUUUGAGAGAGCAUGAUAAUUAAGCAAUUAUUGAAGUCAGCUAUUUACACUCGAAUAUUUUUGAGCAAUAUACACCUCUCUUCACUCAAGUUUGUGUUACUACAGCACAAGCGCUGACUCUGCCUUUCGGAGCAGAGCAGUGGUUUUGGACUUUUCUCAGCAGCGCUCCUCCCAGCCUUGUUUGUACUAAUAAAGUAGUGUAAACAGCGAA